rnacentral:tRNA from 1 species
GGGCUGUUAGUUUAGUGGAUAAAAUGGGGCGCUUCGGACGCCUUGCCCCGGGUUCGAAUCCUGGACGGCCCA